rnacentral:rRNA from 1 species
GACGAACGCUGGCGGCGUGCUUAACACAUGCAAGUCGAACGGAAAGGCCCUGCUUUUGUGGGGUGCUCGAGUGGCGAACGGGUGAGUAACACGUGAGUAACCUGCCCUUGACUUUGGGAUAACUUCAGGAAACUGGGGCUAAUACCGGAUAGGAGCUCCUGCUGCAUGGUGGGGGUUGGAAAGUUUCGGCGGUUGGGGAUGGACUCGCGGCUUAUCAGCUUGUUGGUGGGGUAGUGGCUUACCAAGGCUUUGACGGGUAGGCCGCCUGAGAGGGUGACCGGCCACAUUGGGACUGAGGUACGGCCCAGACUCCUACGGGAGGCAGCAGUCGGGAAUAUUGCGCAAUGGGCGGGAGCCUGAUGCAACAACGCCGGGUGCGGGAUGACGGCCUUCGAGUUGUAAACCGCUUUCGACUGUGACGAAGCGUGAGUGACGGUAAUGGGUAAAGAAGCACCGGCUAACUACGUG